UGCUACGGAAGCCUCAUUCGUUCAAUCGGCGUUUACAGUGUGUUCGCUGACAGCGUGCCUAUGGCAGGGUUGGAGGAUGAUGGGGAAACACUGUUCAGACGAGGGGCCGGUCAGAGUGAUGACUCUGAUAUCUGGGAUGAUACAGCCCUGAUCAAAGCUUACGAUAAAGCCGUGUCAUCGUUUAAGAAAGCUCUGAAGGACGGAGAUAGUACAAUGGCUCCUCCUAUACCUGAAAAAAACUCCAGCACAAAAAGGAAAAAUCGGAAGAAGAAGAAAAGCAGAAAGAAAAGCAAUGCUCCACCUUUGAAGACGUGGCGAGUAGGUGAUGCCUGUAAUGCAGUUUGGUCCGAGGAUGGUAAUGUUUAUCCAGCUACUAUCUCUUCUAUUGAUGCAAAGAGAGGGGCUUGUGUAGUGUCUUACACUGGUUAUGGAAAUUCUGAAGAGCAAGACUUGGCAGACUUGCUUUUCCCAGACAGCUCUGAAGUAGACAGUGACCAGAAGUAUCAAGAACUGGAUGUUAAUGGAGAUGAGCAUUCUACAGAUGAAAGUGAUAGGUCUUCCAGGUCAGCUUCAAACAAAGAUCCUCACAGUCGAACUGUACCACAGUGGAACCCUAACUUCCCUCCUGCUCCACCUCCACCAUUUAACCCGGGGUUUGGCUGGCAUGGUGAGAAACCAAAUCCGGCACAUGCCUUCCUUUCUGGUUGGCCACCUCCAUUCCCCCCUGGACCACCAAUGAUUCCACCUCCACCUCCCUUGGGGCCAGAUACCUCUGAAGAUGAUGAAGCCCUGGGCAGCAUGUUAAUUGCCUGGUAUAUGAGUGGCUAUCAUACCGGCUAUUAUCUGGGUUUAAGACAGAGUCGAAUGGAGGCGUCAUCUGGGAAAUAUCCUUCUUCAAAAUAACUACAUUUGUUCAAAUUGACCUCCGUUGGAUUGUUUAAGCAGUUUCUUAAGAAAACACAAAGACAUUGGAGCGCUCUAAAACAUAUGGUCAUUGUACGAUCGCUUAACUCUAUUUAGCAAUAUUAUAUUUUAGUAUGGAGUGAAUUAUUUCACUUGGUUUUUCUUUACAAUGCUAUUGAAGAUCAUAGCGGUACAUAAUAUAUGUACUUUGUACAGUUUUUAUGUUUUUGUUUAAUUUCUAUCCAUACGCAAAGUGUAAGCGGUCACGUUUGCUUAUUAGAACAGAUUGCUUAUUAUGUCCUGUUUUCUUUAAAUCAAUGUUGUCCAUUUUGCAUGUUUGGUGCAGACUUUGGUCUCAUUUAACUCAUCUCUCCCAGCUGCCUCUACUGAAAGCAGGGAGGAUUCACCAGUACACUUGAUGCGCAAGCUCAGUAGUAUGUCUGUCCUAGUCAGUGGAACCUGAGGUCAUAUUGGAAUCAAUGGCCGUAACAGCAGCUGUCCGCAUGCUAUGUGGACACUGAUGUUUUGCUAUCAUACGUGAUUAGGAGCUGCUACUCCUGCUUCUGGCAGUGGGAGAGCUACUGUGCAUGCGCACAAAAUGUGCAUAAUGAUGAUUCUUGGGUGUGGCAGCGUUGGGUAUUAGAUGAUGUAUAUUGCGCUACACGUCAUUGGUGUAGUAUAGAAUGAUCUUUGUAUGCUCAGUUUUGCUGAAUCGGCAGUUUAUUUUGCUGUUUUCUUCCUGUUAGGCUGCUAACAGACUAAUCCGAUACUAUUUGAAAUCUUUAUUCAGAAUAGAACGCCUGAUAAACCAAUUAAAGGAAUAAAUUCAGUAUUUGCAAAACCACUGACCUACAUGAAGAUAUUCAUAGCAGUGUUCAUAUUUUAGUCUUGCCGUAUCACCUAGAACUGUUAUAUUUCAUGAUACUGGAUUACUUUAGGGAGCCUCGGUUCAUAUCCUAAAAUUGAUUACACUUGCUUUGUACUGAAUGUUCGUGUAUCUGCUGGGUAUUGAAUGCAGGUGCUGGAUACAUGGUGAUAACUGUCAGUCGCGUUAUUAAUCUUUCUUUUUUCCAAUUGGUUUUGUGUGUUCUGUUCUUCUAGAUAAACAAACUUAGUUCCAAUGACAUUUGAUUAAUACUAUGAGACGUUCCAGGGAACUUUGCUGUUGCACGAAUCCCUGUUUUGUUACUUUGAGAAAACUUUUGUAAGGAAACAAUAAAGUUGCAUAUUUUGUUGA